rnacentral:lncRNA from 10 species
UUUUAAUUUUUUUUUUUUAGAGAUGAGGCCUCACUAUGUUGCCCAGGCUGGUAUCCAGGUCCUGGCAUCAAGUAAUCCUCUCACCUUAGCUUCCCAAAGUGCUGGCUGGGAUCACAGGUGUGAGCCACCAUGCCUGGCCUUGUCUCUGUUUUAUAGACGAGGAAACUGUGGCACAAAGAGCUUAAAUAACCUGCCCAGGUCACGCAGCUCAUCCACCUGCAGACAUGGGGCGCAGAAAGUCAAAACGAAAGCCGCCUCCCAAGAAGAAGAUGACAGGCACCCUCGAGACCCAGUUCACCUGCCCCUUCUGCAACCACGAGAAAUCCUGUGAUGUGAAAAUGGACCGUGCCCGCAACACCGGAGUCAUCUCUUGUACCGUGUGCCUAGAGGAAUUCCAGACGCCCAUAACGUAUCUGUCAGAACCCGUGGAUGUGUACAGUGAUUGGAUAGACGCCUGCGAGGCGGCCAAUCAGUAGCGACACAGAGGACCCGCCCCCUGAGCAGCCCCGCGUACUGUGGAUCCAGCUGUUCGGUUCUGGUCCAGAGACAUUCCAGGGGUCCAGGGUGUGGGUCCUGGGCUGUCACAGCCGUGUGUGUGUGUGUGUGUGUGUGUGUGUGUGUGUGUGUGUGUGUGUGUGUAGUGGGUGUGCGUGUGGGU